AGUGUCAAAGUUGCAGGACUGUAGUGGCGUGGUGUGUACGGGCCAAAUUGAAGCAACCAGGACCAAGGCCCAAGAGUGGGGGACAAGCAGAUGUUUGCCCACUGCUGGAGUUGGCUUGGAGCCGAUUCGGAGGGACAGAUCUGAGUCGAAGCGGUGGGGCCCGGGUCCGAGCUUGAGACCGAGGAACAAGAUGAUGUUUGACCAAUUUAAGUGCUGGGCCCGACUGGAAAGCUCAGUUAGUUUCUGGAGUGACAAGCAACUCUUAAAUUGAGGAAGUUUUAAAAAGAUCCCAAGAUGACUACCUACCUGUUGAACCGCAGAACAUAUUUCUUCAGAAGGGGGAGAGAGAUGUUCGAGUUUUUUUUAAAGCGCAGCAUGUUUAUUUCUUCGGAAGGGGAAAGAGAUGUUUGAGUUUUUAAAAAAGGCAGGAAGUGGACAAAGUUCACAGGUUCAUGCAUGGCCUGCUGUAACCACGAAGCCGUCACACCAGCAGCCCUACUUUACUUGGAGUUUGAGGAGAUUUGGUAUGUCACCACAGACCCUUAUAGAUAUGCGGCAGAGAGCAUUCUGACUUGUAACAUCAUAGCCUGGUAUGGAAGCUCCAAUGCACGGGAUCGUAAAAAGCUACAGAGGGUUGUAGAGCCAGCCAUCUUCAUCGUGGAUGCAAUUCUCCCACAAUUCAGAGUAUCUUCAAAGGGCUGUGUCUCAAGA